rnacentral:sRNA from 1 species
UCGUCCCUGUUGGAGGCAAGGGUCUGGCCCCAGCUCUUACCUAAGGAGCAGCCCCCGCAGAGAGCGGGACGGGGGACAAGAGCGCACGCGGCGUCACACGCACGCUUAGCCACCCCCCAAGAAGCCGCCGCCGCGCUCAAGCUCCGCGCGCUCAGGAGCAGGUAGAGUGUAGCUGUCGUGAUGCUCCCUUUGUUCCUGUUGGGACUGGCUGCAGAUACCUGUCCGUUAUCCCCGGCACCAAUGAGAGGGACGAACAGGACCACCUGCACCGCCCACCACCCUCGCGCUAACACGCUUAAGGCCUAACGCAGGCGGCAGCUGGUGCGAAUUUACAAAUCGGGUUUUUCACCCCCGUGUGGCUGCAAUGUCCGCCCAGUUCGAGCCCCACAUUCUCCCGCUGGCGCCGCCUGGGGGUUGGGCCAACUCUUGCUGCUAAGGAAGCCUCACCAGUCUCUUUCCCGUUUGCUACCUAAAUGUCCUCGGCGGGAAACUGCUGAGAACAAUUUGGGGAAGCCUGAACUUGUUCCUAGUUCCGCGCUUUAUUACUUGUGAUCAUGACUGGUCAAAACUCCGCCCGGAGCCUCCAUUUGUUCAUCUGAAAAAUGGGGUUGAGAAGCUCAAGUACUAGAAUGUGAAAACGCUUUCUAAAGACGAAGGCAUGAUAUCUUGUGAGAUAGUAAUUCCUUCAAACUCACGCAUAGGUUAUUCCUAUUCCUAACUUUGCGAUCUGCUUUCACUAGGCAAUCGCUUUCCCUUUGUAUUCUUAUAAUUUUCACCUAUAGAUUUUACCCUCAGGGUUUUUUAAUGCCUGAGAACAUUACUUCCAUUUCAGAGAACAUUCCAUUAAUUCAGAGAACAUUACUUCCAUUUCAGUUAAGCUUGUCUGGCCAAAUUUGGUUGUCCUCCAGAGUCUGACCUCUUUUUGCUUGGCGCUUGUUUCACCAGGUUGAAGUGGUCCUUUAGGUCUCAGUUUUUCCCGUAUGGGGUGCCUUACUUAAACCAAGGUGCCUCGGGGCCAGUGCUAGCUUCCUACAUACUGGAGGAAAGCAAGCAAGGAAGGAGUAGAGAAUCCAGUCACUUGACUUCAUUAUCCUCUUCAAACCGAAAUUUUAAAGGAAGGACAAGGAAAAAUUUCAAGGCUGCAGCCUUUCACAGUCCUCUGAGGGACAAAACUCAAAUACAGUUCUUGCCUUGAAGGUGGUCACAAACAAAAAGGGUAAAUGAUCCUAAGGUUUAAAUAUAGACCUAAAAGAGAGAUACAUACAAUGGAAAUUUAAUCUUGUAAUUCUUUGCAGGCAGCAGUAAUUUAUAGGUUAAAGUCCUGGUUGUAGUUUAAUUAUAAAAUAUGUUCUUUUAUUAGUAUUUAUCACUAUGGUGACUUCUUUAGCCAAAGAGUAUCUAAACUGAACUCUCAGAGCUAACAGAAGUAACUAUGUUGCAGUGAGAGCAACAGUCCUGGGUCUCUACCUCUUGUUUUCUAUGUGACCUUGGCAAUUCAACCAACAUCUUUGAGGCUGUUUUUUUGGUAAGGAAUGGAAAGAACAUAUGGCAACAGGGAUUUGUAAACUAGCAUAUAAACAUAUAUAUUUAAAUUAA